rnacentral:rRNA from 1 species
AUGAAAUUAAAAUUAUUAAAUAUAAUUUUAUCAAUAAUAAAUAAACUUAAUAAUAAUAAUAAUAUUAUUAUUAAUAAUCUAUUAGAUUCAUUAAUAAAUAAGAAAUUAUUAUUAAAGAAUAUAUUAUUAGAUAUAAAUAAUAAAAAAAUAAAUAAUAUAAAAAGAAUAUUAAAUAAUAAUAAUAUAAAUAUUAAUAAUAAAUUACAACAUUUAAAUAAUAUAAAUAAUUGAAAUCUACAAAUUUAUAAUUAUAAUAAAAAUAUAGAAAUUAUAAAUACUAUAAAUGAUAAAUUAAUUAAUAAAUUAUUAUAUAAAAUAAUAACUUUAAAAUUAAAUAAUAUAAACCCCGCGGGACCAAUCNAAAGUAACUAUUGAACCUAUUAAAUUAUCAUAUAUUUAUUUAAAUAGUGAUAUUUUUAGUAAAUAUAUUAGUUUAAAUGAUAUAGAUAAAUAUAAUAAUGGUAUCUUAACUAAUUAUCAACGUAUAUUAAAUAAUAUUAUGCCUAAAUUAAAUGAUCAUAAUAUUAAUAAAAUUAUUAUAAGUAAACUUAUUAAUCAACAUAGUUUAAAUAAAUUAAAUAUUAAAUUUUAUUAUUAUAAUAAUGAUAUUAAUAAUAAUAAUAAUAAUAAUAAUAAUAAUAAUAAUUAUUAUAUAAAUAUAAUAAAUAAAUUAAUAAAUAUUAUAAAUAAUAAUAUAAAUAAUAAUUUAUGUAAUAUUUUAAGUUAUUAUUAUAAUAAAAAAGUAACUAUUGAACCUAUUAAAUUAUCAUAUAUUUAUUUAAAUAGUGAUAUUUUUAGUAAAUAUAUUAGUUUAAAUGAUAUAGAUAAAUAUAAUAAUUAGUUUAAAUGAUAUAGAUAAAUAUAAUAAUGGUAUCUUAACUAAUUAUCAACGUAUAUUAAAUAAUAUUAUGCCUAAAUUAAAUGAUCAUAAUAUUUCUAUAAAUUAUAUUAAUAAUAUUAAUAAUAUUAAUAAUAAUAAAUAUAAUAAUAUAAUUAAUUUAUUAAAUAAUAAUAAUAAUAUUAAUAAUAAUAAUAAUUAUAAUAAUAAUAAUAAUAAUUAUAUUGGUAAUAUUAAUAAUAUUUAUAAUAAUAUAACUAUUGAUAAUAUUCCUAUAGAUAUUUUAAUAUAUAAAUAUUUAGUUGGUUGAUCUAUUAAAUUUAAAGGUAGAUUAAGUAAUAAUAAUGGUAGAACUAGUACACUUAAUUUAUUAAAUGGUACUUUUAAUAAUAAAAAAUAUUUAUGAAGUAAUAUUAAUAAUAAUUAUAAAUUAAAUUAUAUCCCUUCUAAUCAUAAUUUAUAUAAUAAUUCUAAUAUUAAUAAAAAUGGUAAAUAUAAUAUUAAAGUUAAAUUAAACUUUAUUUAA